rnacentral:rRNA from 1 species
AGCGCACCCCUAUCCUUAUUUGCCAGCGCAUAAUGGCGGGAACUAUAAGGAGACUGCCGGUCAUAAACCGGAGGAAGGCGGGGACGACGUCAAGUCAUCAUGGCCCUUAUGGGUAGGGCUACACACGUGAUACAAUGGGUGGUACAGAGGGUCGCCAAAGCGCGAGCUGGAGCCAAACCCUUAAAACCAUUCUUAGUCCGGAUUGGAGUCUGCAACUCGACUCCAUGAAGUCGGAAUCGCUAGUAAUCGCGAAUCAGAAUGUCGCGGUGAAUACGUUCUCGGGCCUUGUACACACCGCCCGUCACGUCAUGGAAGUGGGUUGCACCAGAAGUGGCUUGUUUAACCUUCGGGAAAACGGUCACCACGGUGUGAUUCACAACUGGGACGAAGUCGUGACAAGGUAGCCCUAGGGGAACCUGGGGCUGGAUCA